AAUCUUCCACAAUGGACGAAAGUCUGAUGGAGCAACGCCGCGUGAGUGAAGAAGGUUUUCGGAUCGUAAAGCUCUGUUGUUGGUGAAGAAGGAUAGAGGUAGUAACUGGCCUUUAUUUGACGGUAAUCAACCAGAAAGUCACGGCUAACUACGUGCC
rnacentral:rRNA from 1 species